rnacentral:rRNA from 1 species
UGUGACCCCAGGUCAGGUGGGAUUACCUGCUGAGUUUAAGCAUAUCAACAAGCGGAGGAAAAGAAACUUACUAGGAUUCCCCUAGUAACGGUGAGUGAACUGGGAAUAACCCAGCUUGAGAAUCGGGCGCCCUCGGUGUUUGAAUUGUAGUACGGAGAAGUGUCCUUUGCGGCGGACCGGGCCCAAGUCCCCUAGAAGGGGCCGCUAGAGAGGGUGAGAGCCCUAUUGUGCCCGGACCCUGUCGCACCACGAGGCGCUGUCUACGAGUCGGGUUGUUUGGGAAUGCAGCCCAAAUCUGGCGGUAAAUUCCGUCCAAGGCUAAAUACGGGCAAGAGACCAAUAUCGAACAAGUACCGUGAGGGAAAGAUGAAAAGGACUUUGAAAAGAGAGUCAAAGGGUGCUUGAAAUUGUCGGGAGGGAAGCGGAGGAGGGUCGGUAAUGUGCCCCGGUCGGAUGUGGAACGGCCAAAAGCCGGUCCGCCGAUCAGCUCGAGGUGCGGACCGACGCGGAUUGCUGCAGUGGCCCAAGCCCAGACUUUUAAUACGCCUGGUGAGAUGCUGUCACUAUCACUGCGUGCUUCGGCACCUGCACGCUCAGGGCAUCGGCCAGCGAGCUCCCCAUUCGGCCCAUCUUGAAACACGGACCAAGGAGUCUGACAUGUGUGCGAGUCAAUGGGCGAGUAAACCCAUAAGGCAUAAGGAAGCUGAUUGGCAGGAUCCCCUUAUGGGUUGCACCGCCGACCGACCUUGAUCUUUUGAGAAGGGUUCGAGUGAGAGCAUGUCUGUCAGGACCCGACAGAUGGUGAACUAUGCCUGAGCAGGGCGUAGCCAGAAGAAACUCUGGUGGAGGCCCGCAGCGAUACUGACGUGCAAAUUGUUCGUCUGACAUGGGUAUAGGGCCGAAAGACUAAUCGAAUCAUCUAGUAGGUGGUUCCCUCUGAAGUUUCCCUCAGGAUAGCUGGAGCUCGGGACGAGUUCUAUCGGGUAAAGCCAAUGAUUAGAGGCAUUAGGGCGCAACCCCCUCAACCUAUUCUCAAACUUUAACUAGGUAGGACGGCACGGCUGCUUUAUUGAGCCGGGCCACAGAAUCGAGAGCUCCAACUGGGCCAUUUUUGGUAAGCAGAACAGGCGAUGCAGGAUGAACGGGAAGCCGGGUUACGGUGCCUAACUACGCGCUAACCUAGAACCCACAAAGUUGGUCGAUUAAGACAACAGGACGAUGGUCAUGGAAGUCAAAAUUCGUUAAGGAGUGUGUAACAAGUCACCUGCUGAAUCAACUAGCCCUGACAAUGGAUGGCGCUUAAGCGCACGACCUAUACCUGGCCAUCGGGGCAAGAGCUAGGCCCCGAUGAGUAGAAGGGCAUGGCGGUCGCUACAAAACCCAGGGCACGGCCGUCAGUGCAGAUCUUAGUGGUAGUAGAAAAUAUUCAAAUGAGAACUUUGAAGGCCGAAGAGGGGAAAGGUUCCAUGUGAACGACACUUGCACAUGGGUUAGUCGAUCCUAAGAGACGGGGGAAGCCUGUCCGACAGCGCGUCCGCGCGCGAACUUUGAAAGGGAAUCGGGUUAAAAUUCCCGAACAGGGACGUGGCGACUGAUGGCAACAUUAGGGAGUCCGGAGACGUAGGCGGGGGCCUUUGAAAGAGUUAUCUUUUCUGUUUAACAGCCCGUCCAACUCAAAAACGACUCAAUCGGAGGUAGGGUCCAGCAGUUGGAAGAGCAACGCACGUCGCGUGGUGUCCAGUGCGCCCCCGGCGGCCCAUGAAAAUCUGGAGGACCGAGUGCCAUCCAAGCCCAAUCAUACUCAUAACCGCAUCAGGUGUCCAAGGUGAACAGCCUUUGGUCAAUGAAACAAUGUAGGCAAGAGAAGUUGACAAAAUGGAUCCAUAACCUUGGGAAAAGGAUUGGCUCUGAGGGGUGGGCCCGAGGGUCCCAGUUCCGAACCCGUUGGCUGUCGGCGGACUGCUAGAGCUGCUCUCGCAGCGAGAGCGGGUCGCCGUGUGUCGGCCGGGGGACGGACUGGGAACGGCCUCUUCGGGGGCCUUCCCCGGCCGUUGAACAGUCGACUCAGAACUAGUACGGACAAGGGGAAUUCAACUGUUUAAUUAAAACAAAGCAUUGCGAUGGUCCUUGCGGAUGCUCACCCAUUGUGAUUUUUGCCUAGUGCUCUGAAUGUCAAAGUGAAGAAAUUCAACCAAGCACGGGUAAACGACGGGAGUAACUAUGACUCUCUUAAGGUAGCCAAAUGCCUCGUCAUCUAAUUAGUGACGUACAUGAAUGGAUUAACAAGAUUCCCAUUGUCCCUGUCUCCUAUCUAGCGAAACCAUAGCCAAGGGAAUGGGCUUGGCGGAUUCAGCAGAGAAAGAAGACUCUGUUGAGGUUGACUCUAGUCUGACUUUUUGAAAUGACUUGAGAGGUGUAGGAUAACUGGGAGCCUUAAUCAGCGAUGGUGAAAUACCACUACUUUUAAUGUUAUUUUACUUAUUCUGUGAAUCGGAGGCGAGCCUACGCCCCUCUUUUUGGACCCAAGGUCGCUUCGGCGGCCAAUCCGGGCGAAAGACAUUGUCAGGUGGAGAGUUUGGCUGGGGUAGCACAUCUGUUAAAAGAUAACGCAGGUGUCCUAAGAUGAGCUCAACGAGAACAAAAAUCUCAUGUGGAACAAAAGGGUAAAAGCUCGUUUGAUUCUGAUUUCCAGUACAAAUACGAACCGUGAAAGCAUGGCCUAUCGAUCGUUUAGACCUUCAAAAUUUGAAGUUAGAGGUGUCAGAAAAGUUACCACAGGGAUAACUGGCUUGUGGCAGCCAACCAUUCAUAGCGACGUUGCUUUUUGAUCCUUCAAUGUUAGCUCUUCCUAUCAUUGUGAAGCAGAAUAAAUUAUAUAUACAAGAAAAAAAACUUGAUGGUUGCUAAGUCAAGCAAGACUACGACCUAAGGCAGUGUACCUAUCGAUGGAGUAUAGCUAAUGGCGAGUACCAAGUGUCGUAUUCCCCAAAGAACGUGUGAACCUAAACCUACUCAAUCUUCUCGGCUAUCUAAUAUAAAAAAUGGCAUUGAUGAAUAAUUCCUAAAUUAACUAAUAGCUACUCCAAUUGUUGUCUAACUACGGCUACUAGGGAAGGAUUAAUUCAAGUAAAGGAAUAACCCCUUGGGAAUUCUUGUCUCUGGGAAUGGAAACUAAAGGUGGAAUUGAUUGAUUGAAUUCAAUUUCCGUGGGGAAAUCUCUACGCAAUUAACGCCUUUCUCUAGGAC